UCGUCCGGGGCUCCCACAGCUGCGUCUUCAUCUUCUGGGCCGUAGGUGACAUGCUGCUCAAGCUGGGAAGCCGGUGCCUCCGGUUAGUCACAGGAGCACACGAGCCAUUAGCAUCACUCAUGGCACCUCUCAUGCACAGAUGCUCUUGAAGCUUCUCUCUGGUGAGUAUUUGCUAAUCAUUGAUGAGAACAAAAAUGAAUUAACCAGGAUCUUGACUUGCAUAUGCAUACAUAUACUUAUAUGCCUCUUGUCUGAUGCUGAUUGCUGUGAGAUUCAGCUAUAAGGCUACAAAACCAGUUUUACUCUCUUAAGAGAUGUGGCUGAAUGGCAGAGUGAGGAGGAAAAUUACUCUGUCUUGGACAUUAAGUUAAGUAAUAAUAUAUGUCUCACUUUGCUUUACCAAAUUCAUUGACCUAUUUAUUUUGUAAGUCAUAUUUGAAAACAACA